CCUACGGGCGGCAGCAGUGAGGAAUAUUGGUCAAUGGGCGGAAGCCGGAACCAGCCAAGUCGCGUGAGGGAAUAAGGCCCUACGGGUCGUAAACCUCGUUUGCCGGGGAGCAAGGGCGGGGACGUGUCCCGGCCCGGAGAGCACCCGGAGAAAAAGCAGCGGCGAACCCCGUGCCGGCAGCCGCGGUACUACGGAGGAUGCGAGUUUGAGCAGGAUUUAUGGGGUUAAAGGGGUGGGUAGGGGGGCUUUUAAGGUAGCGGUAAAGAUUCGGGGCUCAACCCCGUCCGGCCGUUGAAACUGGCGGCCUUGAGUGGGCGAGAGGCAGGCGGAAUGCGUGGUGUAGCGGUGAAAUGCAUAGAUAUCACGCAGAACCCCGAUUGCGAAGGCAGCCUUCCGGCGCCCUACUGACGCUGAGGCACGAAAGUGCGGGGAUCGAACAGGAUUAGAUACCCGUGUAGUC
rnacentral:rRNA from 1 species